rnacentral:ncRNA from 20 species
GGGUGUCUAGUUGAACUUAGGCAGGUGUUUGUUGUAGUCGGGCCGCUACAA